GCCGGGAUGGUGGAAUAGGUAGACACGCAAGGUUGAGGGCCUUGUGAACGUUUUGUUCAUGGGGGUUCAAAUCCCCCUUCCGGUA
rnacentral:tRNA from 1 species